rnacentral:rRNA from 1 species
UACAGAGGGUGCGAGCGUUGUUCGGAAUUAUUGGGCGUAAAGGGCGCGUAGGCGGCGCCACAAGUCACCUGUGAAAACUCUGGGCUCAACCCAGAGCCUGCAGGCGAAACUGUGGUGCUGGAGUAUGGGAGAGGUGCGUGGAAUUCCCGGUGUAGCGGUGAAAUGCGUAGAUAUCAUUUGGAACGCCAACGGCGAAAGCAGGCAGCUGGGGAUGCACCGACGCUGAGACACGAAAGCCAGGGGAGCGAACGGG